CGGGGCUCCAGCUCCAGCCAGGCCUCUAGCGGCGGGAACCUGUCGGACUGCGGCCGCCAGCAGGAGGCGCCACGCCUCCCCAGGAGCAGCGGCAGCUUCAAGACCAAGCAGGAGGUGAAGCCCCGCCCCUUUAUGGGCGUCAUGGACAAGUCGGUCAGAGUCCAGACCCACCAGACACCCUCUGGUAGGGGAGGAGGUGGAGGAGGAGGAGGUGGAGGAGGUGGAGGAGGAGCAGCAGAGGGCUUCAACAUGUCGCUGGUGGAGUUCCAGAAGUUGAACAGUGAGCUGCAGUGGGGGCCGUACCAGGAACAGGGGGUCCCUGGGGGUCCAGGAAGGGAGUUUAGCGAGGCGAGGGCCAACAGAGAGGCUCCCCCCCUGCACCGCGGGCCCAUCAAACCCAAGCGCUCCUUCAUUGAGUCCAAUGUGUGACUGUGCUCCCCGCCGCCCUCCGGUGGCCGCUCACAGUUUUAAUGCUCCUUUAAAUCCUCUGGCCUUGAGCUUAUAUCUAUACAGCAAGGGUAGUUAAUAGAACAUUACAAAGAAAUAAUAUUCUUAGAAUGGGUAUGUGUUAUUCCUAGAACUAUGAAUCCUAAAGAGACAUUUACUACGUGCAUGAUAUUUAAACGCAUUAGGAGCCAGAUACGAACAUUUGGAUCGAGGAGGGAGAACAUUUAUAUUUGUACGCCAUGCAACAUUCAGAUGAUAUAUUUCCAUGUAAGAGAUGAUUGGUUCAGUAAGUAUAAGAUCUUUAAGGCAACUGGACAAUCCUAUUCUUGGUACGUUUGAUAAAUUGCAUUGUAAUUCAUUGACGGAAAUGUUUCAUUCUAAAGAAAAGGCUUUAUUUAUUUUUGGAAGCAGAGAGGAAAUGUUUCUUGGUUUGUGAGAAAGAUAGUGUUUACAAGGUGGGAGGACUGCUAACUGUUUAUCCAAAGUAUUAUUCUAUAUCAUAGACAGGAACCACGCAUCCUGGUGGUACAUUCAUAUAUUCAGAAUUAUAAUAAUAAAAAAUAAAUACGGAGUAGAAUGUG
ensembl:lncRNA